AGAUAAUGGCACUGGCUGUACCAGUGGCCCAGAUCCUUCACUUGCAGAAGAGCUUCCCAGAGAGGAGCAAGCCCUCCUGCCGUCACCUCUGGUGUCAUCCUAUAGGAUAUUAAAACCAACUCAAGAUUGUGUUGAAAACUGUUUUCCUUUUGAGGAUGCUAAUAAGAACAAGAUCAUAUCAAUGGGUAUGGAUCAUGGCAGGAUUUUCCUUCAGCUGAGUCUUUUAAUGAGCCGUUUCAUAAUGAGGGCUGAAUCUACACACAGUAUCUGCAUGC
rnacentral:lncRNA from 1 species